CCCCCCACCCGCUGCCGCCACCACACGCCACCAGACGCCGGCACCGCCACCUCUCCUCCGAAAAUCAAACGACGAUGGUGGUCUGUUGACUAUCGACGCCGGAAAACGAAGUUUGAGGGCGAGGGACGAGGGGCAUCAGAGGCGGCCGUUGAUUUUCUUCGCGUCGCCCGUCUGUGUGUGUGCUUGAGAGAUGAGAGAGGAGAGAGAGCAGAGGCGAGGAGAGAAGGGAUGGCGAGGCGCGUCGUGGCUGACAGCGGCGCCAGUCGCAGGGAGAAGACCCCUAGUUUCUAUUUGUUAAAUCGCCGCGCCGCCGCCCUGAAAUUUCCGGUGGAUUCGACGACUUCUGUUAAAUCGCCGCCGCGGGGAGAAAAGCCCUGGAAUAUCUGUUAAAUCGUCGUCGCCGCGCCGCGUUCUUUAAUUCUGCGCACCGCCGCGUUCUUUAAUUUCGCUGCACUUUCUUUCUGCGUGUGUUCUUGGUGUGUAGUUGAUUCUUGGGGAUGUCUGAAAAGAAAUUUGAGAUUGU
rnacentral:lncRNA from 1 species